ensembl:lncRNA
GGGAAAGAAAGCUGCAGGCCCAGACUCAUCCCAUAACCGAGCUCCUGAGGGAGUUGAGGGGAGUCCCCACUUCAGCUCUGCUUCCUCUUAUCAGCCCACAGGACAGAAGAAGGAAAACUCACCUGCACACGGACCCGCCUCCUGCCUGUCCUCCUGGGAAGGUUCAGUCCUUUAGGUCUGCCCACAGAAUGACAAAGAUCUGCCCACAUUUCACAACAUUUCCCGAAUGAGCUCUUCUUAAAUUCACUAAAAUUUCAGGAUUCUGUUACUUAAUACUGUGCAGAUAGAAAGUUUUGUCCGCCGAGACUACUAGGAUGGAAAAGAAAAGAAGAAAUGCCUUUCCUAUUCCUACCAACCUCCAGAUCCUCAACUUUCACUUCAUCCAGAUUUCGCCUUUAAGCACGUUUGGAUCCUGGUCUCCAUACUUUUCCCCAGCAAGUCGAAAAGAUGUAAUCAAAAAGUCAAUGACCGCACCCCUCCCAAAACAUAAUAAGCUCAGAGGAAUUACAAAAUGCUAUAAUUUAGCCCCCAAAUCUGAACAGUAUAUCAGAUGGAGGGCUAGAUGUUUAUACUGAUUUGUAAAGAACAAAAAAAAAGCUGCCACUGGUCGGAAUGCACACAAGCAGCCCCUUGUCUCCUGCCACCAUGCAGCUCUUCUAAGCGACAGAAGCCCAGGAACACAGAGGCCCUGGGCCCAGGCCAGCUGGAGCCAUGCUAAACAGGCUGAAAAGCAAGCAGUUCUGACAUCCCUUCAUCAAACGCUGUUCACUCUGGAGAAGCGAUAAACAAUUUUGCACACACUGAUCACGCUUCUUUCUGUAUAAGAGCAAGUUCAGGAAUAAGACCUGAACCAGGGAACCCGAACCUGCACCCUGAAACAGCCUCCUGAUUUUUAUAACCCCAGAAGCAAAACCAUCACCACAUCCAGGUCAAUGUACCAUGGAACCCAAGCCCUUGCCCUCUUCCCAAGUGAGCCGGCAAACAGCCAACAGCCUGGCAUCACACUGGUUACCAGCCAGCAUGGCCCUGCCAGGCUGGACGGAGGCAGCAAUUACACGUGCUUGGUGUUUGGAAGCUCUUCUGGAAAAGCAGCCCUACCAGGCUUCAUGCCAUCUUCAGGAGGGUCAAACCCCAACUUGUGAACACCCCGCAGUGGGAGUCCCAGGAGAACUUCUGUUCCAACCAGGCCUCCAGACCAGUGGUCCCAUGGCAACAGGGACCCCCAUCUCAGCCCAGAAUAGGGUGCAGCCCACGUCAGCCCCCACAGCAGAACUCAUCAGGGCGACUCUCUGAGUGUCCUGAAGGUCGCCCACUGUCAGGAGCCCCCGCUGCCCAGCCAGAGCCACUGGUCACAACACACAAGUCCCUGGAGGGUGCUGUGUGGCAGCAAUGCCAGAUUUAACACUGCGGUCACUCAUUCCCUGAGACCUUUUUUUAAGUGCAAGUGAGAAUGCACAUGAGGGCACCUCAAAUAUUCAAAGAGUUAAACAAUCUAAGGGUGUCGGAAGAGUCACCACUUGGUAUGCUGCCCACAUCUGAGGACUGAGCUUUAGGGGGUAUAACUUGAAGGGGUCCCCAUUGUCUUUGGGGAGGCAGGGUGAUGUGGACCCCGGAGCCGCAACCUGGACCAAGUUACACGAGCUUCUACUGCUCAUUUCCCUCAUCAGUAGCCUGGGGCUAACAACAGAUCUCUUGGUAUCACCAUGGAACAUGAUGUGGCAAAAAGGAAGUCAUCUGCUAGCAUGGUGAUGGGCAUAUAAUAAACCACAAAUUAAUGCUCGUUUCCUUCUUCAAUGUUUUUAGAGAACUUCCGUUUGUAUCACGUAUUCCUUUUUUUUUCCCAUUUUAUUAAUUGCUUACAAUCUUCUUUCAAAAUUAACAACCCACAUAUAUUCAUAUUUUCCUUACGAAUGUGUGCAGAAAAGAAUAUCAAGAUAUAUGUCCAAAGAUGAUCCCUCCAGCAUUAAUUGUGAUCUUCAAAAAAAAGUAAUAUCUGCUCACUAGAAUGGAGAAUCCCAGGGACGGGGGAGCCUGGUGGGCUGCCGUCUAUGGGGUUGCACAGAGUCAGACACGACUGAAGUGACUUAGCAGCAGCAGCAGCAGAAUUCAAUUACAGCACUUGGAAUAAACGAGACAGUUCAGUGAGUGCUAAUAAGAGGAAAGUACUUUAAGGUAUGGGUUUUCCUGGUGGCUCAGAAGGUAAAGAAUCUGCCUGCAACACAGGAG